CUUAAUGUUUUAUACUUAUUUUUGCUUCUAUUUUUAUGGGUAUGUUUUAUUUAGGGUUUUAGCUCACAUUUCUUGAGGAAAAAAAGGGAUAAUAGUUUAGUGUUGGUUUGGGUCUUGAUUCUUAUUUUCUUCUCUGAGAUGAUGGAUAUGAUGUUUACAAGUCAACAAAAGGAGAAAGGGGAGGUUUGGCAGGAUUGCAGAAUCUGGGAAAUACUUGCUUUAUGAACAGUGCCCUGCAAUGUUUAGUUCACACGCCUCCUCUUGUUGAGUAUUUCUUGCAAGAUUACAAAGAUGAGAUCAAUACUGAAAAUCCUUUGGGAAUUCAUGGUGAGCUUGCAAUCGCCUUUGGUGAGCUGUUGAGGAAAUUAUGGUCCUCAGAGUGAACUACAAUUGCACCACGUGUUUUCAAGGGAAAAUUAGCUCGAUUUGCUCCCCAGUUCAGUGGCUAUAACCAGCAUGAUUCUCAAGAACUUCUUGCAUUCUUGUUGGAUGGACUGCAUGAGGAUUUAAAUCGUGUUAAAGAAAAACCUUACAUAGAAGUAAAGGAUUCAGAUGGUCGCCUA